rnacentral:rRNA from 1 species
UGGAAGUAAAAGUCGUAACAAGGUCUCCGUUGGUGAACCAGCGGAGGGAUCAUUGCUGGAACGCGCCCCAGGCGCACCCAGAAACCCUUUGUGAACUUAUACCUUAUUGUUGCCUCGGCGCAUGCCGGCCCCCAGGGGCCCCUCGGAGACGAGGAGCAGGCACGCCGGCGGCCAAGUUAACUCUUGUUUUUACACUGAAACUCUGAGAGAAAAAAAACAAAAUGAAUCAAAACUUUCAACAACGGAUCUCUUGGUUCUGGCAUCGAUGAAGAACGCAGCGAAAUGCGAUAAGUAAUGUGAAUUGCAGAAUUCAGUGAAUCAUCGAAUCUUUGAACGCACAUUGCGCCCUCCGGUAUUCCGGAGGGCAUGCCUGUUCGAGCGUCAUUUCAACCCUCAAGCAUUGCUUGGUGUUGGGGCACUGCCUGUAAAAGGGCAGGCCCUGAAAUUCAGUGGCGAGCUCGCCAGGACCCCGAGCGCAGUAGUUAAACCCUCGCUUUGGAAGGCCCUGGCGGUGCCCUGCCGUUAAACCCCCAACUCUUGAAAAUU